GUAGUUCGAUCUUGCAUGGGGGCAAAGCAUAAUGUUUUUUGAACUCUUCCUUUCUUUUUCCCAUUUUUGCACAAAUCUCCCAAAGCCCUAGGUGAUAUAUUUUUCCCUUUUUUGGUGGUUCAACGCUGUAACAAUUUUAAUCGAAAUGGCUUCAAUUCUCCGAAAAGCUCUGAGAAACCAAUUUCAACCAAGAAUUCUCACUAACCUUAAUAAAUUCGAACCAGCAAUUUUCAGUUCUACACCACAAAUCUUGGCCCAUCCACCUUGCAGCAGACAUAAUCAGAUACCCUUUUUUCUCCAAAGAGAAACAGUGGAAUCAAAAUUGAAUCUUUACCCAAGUUUUUCUUUUGGUCUUUUUCUUAACCCAAAUGGGUUUUUUCUUAACCCCAUUUCUCCAAAUGAGUUGGUUAAAUCCGAGAACGAUGUAAACGAAGACUCAGUAAAGAUUUGGGCGGAUAGUGUGAAGAAAAAGAGGAAGAGGAAGAUGAACAAGCACAAAUUGAAGAAGCUUAGAAAGUGCUUGAGGAGAAAGACGUAAACUUGUUUUAAUCUGGCAUAUUGUGAAGCCAGUUGAGAAGCGAGGGCAUUUAGAUAUUGACCACUUUGGCUUGUGAUGCUUAAAAUCUGGCCCAUGUCCCAGGGGUGUCUGAGCUACUUGUUUCAGCAUGCUCAGAUUCCCACUUCCCUACUUAAGCUAUUGUUAUGUUAAGUCUAGUUCGCUUAAACAACAUGUUUUUACCAGAGAUUCUACAUGUUAGGUUAUAAUCUGCCCAUCUACUAUUUCCCCGGGGCAGUAGUAUGUUCUGGGCAGGUGUAGCUUAACUGUAUGUUUCUCAUAUAUCAACUAAUGUCCUAACCAAGAGGUGUGAUGUAGGGCUGUUCAUUUGUAUCGGAUAUCCGAAAUCUGAACCGAUCCGCUCAUUUUCGGAUUUCCGAUAUUCGGAUCGGAUUUCGGAUUGUGUUUUUAUUAAAAUUUCGGAUAUUCGGAUCGGAUUCGGAUUGGUAUAAUUGUAACCCGAUCCGAUCCAAAUUCCGAAAUUAUUAGGGCAUGUAUAAAUAUUAAACUUUAGUUUCGGAUAGUCAGUACUUCCUUUA